rnacentral:rRNA from 1 species
UACGGAGGGUGCAAGCGUUGUUCGGAUUUAUUGGGCGUAAAGGGCGUGUAGGCGGUUCGUUAAGUCUGAUGUGAAAGCCCCGGGCUCAACCCGGGAAGUGCAUUGGAAACUGGCGAACUUGAGUACGGGAGAGGGCAGUGGAAUUCCUAGUGUAGGAGUGAAAUCCGUAGAUAUUAGGAGGAACACCGGUGGCGAAGGCGGCUGCCUGGACCGAUACUGACGCUGAGACGCGAAAGCGUGGGAGCAAACAGG